rnacentral:lncRNA from 1 species
UAUCUCCUUCUUUCUCACCCACCCCAACACAUUUUUUAAAAAACACCACCAGGUAUCCGUUAUAGCACUGAUGUGAGUGUAGAUGAAGUAAAAGCUUUGGCUUCUCUGAUGACAUACAAGUGUGCAGUGGUUGAUGUGCCGUUUGGGGGUGCUAAAGCUGGUGUUAAGAUCUAUCCCAAGAACUAUACCGAUAACAAACUGGAAAAGAUCACAAGGAGGUUCACCAUGGAGCUAGCAAAGAAGGGCUUUAUUGGU